AGUGAACGCUGGCGGUAGGCCUUACACAUGCAAGUCAAACGGCAGCACAGUAAGAGCUUGCUCUUACGGGUGGCGAGUGGCGGACGGGUGAGGAAUACAUCGGAAUCUACUUUUUCGUGGGGGAUAACGUAGGGAAACUUACGCUAAUACCGCAUACGACCUACGGGUGAAAGCAGGGGAUCUUCGGACCUUGCGCGAUUGAAUGAGCCGAUGUCGGAUUAGCUAGUUGGCGGGGUAAAGGCCCACCAAGGCGACGAUCCGUAGCUGGUCUGAGAGGAUGAUCAGCCACACUGGAACUGAGACACGGUCCAGACUCCUACGGGAGGCAGCAGUGGGGAAUAUUGGACAAUGGGCGCAAGCCUGAUCCAGCCAUACCGCGUGGGUGAAGAAGGCCUUCGGGUUGUAAAGCCCUUUUGUUGGGAAAGAAAAGCAGCAGGUUAAUACCCCGCUGUUCUGACGGUACCCAAAGAAUAAGCACCGGCUAACUUCGUG
rnacentral:rRNA from 1 species